ACGGGGUGCAGCAGGCGCGAAACCUUCACACUGUGCGAAAGCGCGAUGAGGGGAUCCCAAGUGCUUGCACGUAAGUGUAAGCUGUUUCUGUGUCUAAAAAGCAUAGAGAGUAAGGGCUGGGUAAGACGGGUGCCAGCCGCCGCGGUAAUACCUGCAGCUCAAGUGGUGACCGCUAUUAUUGGGCCUAAAACGUCCGUAGCCGGUUUAGUAAAUGCCUGGGUAAAUCGUGUAGCUUAACUAUACGAAUUCCGGGUAGACUGCUAAACUUGAGACCGGGAGAGGCUAGAGGUACUUCUGGGGUAGAGGUGAAAUUCUGUAAUCCUAGGGGGACCACCAGUGGCGAAGGCGUCUAGCUAGAACGGGUCUGACGGUGAGGGACGAAGCCCUGGGGCGCAAACCGGAUUAGAUACCCGGGUAGUCCAGGGUGUAAACGCUGCUUGCUUGAUGUUAGUCGGGCUCUGAGCCCGAUUAGUGUCGGAGAGAAGUUGUUAAGCAAGCUGCCUGGGAAGUACGGCCGCAAGACUGAAACUUAAAGGAAUUGGCGGGGGAGCACAGCAACGGGUGGAGCGUGCGGUUUAAUUGGAUUCAACGCCGGAAAACUCACCGGAGGCGACGGUUACAUGAAGGCCAGGCUGAUGACCUUGCCUGAUUUUCCGAGAAGUGGAGCAUGGCCGCCGUCAGUUCGUACCGUA
rnacentral:rRNA from 1 species